UUAUGAACGCUAGCUACAGGCUUAACACAUGCAAGUCGAGGGGCAUCAGGAAGAAAGCUUGCUUUCUUUGCUGGCGACCGGCGCACGGGUGAGUAACACGUAUCCAACCUGCCCUUUACUCGGGGAUAGCCUUUCGAAAGAAAGAUUAAUACCCGAUGGCAUAAUGAUUCCGCAUGGUUUCAUUAUUAAAGGAUUCCGGUAAAGGAUGGGGAUGCGUUCCAUUAGGUUGUUGGUGAGGUAACGGCUCACCAAGCCUUCGAUGGAUAGGGGUUCUGAGAGGAAGGUCCCCCACAUUGGAACUGAGACACGGUCCAAACUCCUACGGGAGGCAGCAGUGAGGAAUAUUGGUCAAUGGGCGCUAGCCUGAACCAGCCAAGUAGCGUGAAGGAUGAAGGCUCUAUGGGUCGUAAACUUCUUUUAUAUAAGAAUAAAGUGCAGUAUGUAUACUGUUUUGUAUGUAUUAUAUGAAUAAGGAUCGGCUAACUCCGUGCCAGCAGCCGCGGUAAUACGGAGGAUCCAAGCGUUAUCCGGAUUUAUUGGGUUUAAAGGGAGCGUAGGUGGACUGGUAAGUCAGUUGUGAAAGUUUGCGGCUCAACCGUAAAAUUGCAGUUGAUACUGUCAGUCUUGAGUACAGUAGAGGUGGGCGGAAUUCGUGGUGUAGCGGUGAAAUGCUUAGAUAUCACGAAGAACUCCGAUUGCGAAGGCAGCUCACUGGACUGCAACUGACACUGAUGCUCGAAAGUGUGGGUAUCAAACAGGAUUAGAUACCCUGGUAGUCCACACAGUAAACGAUGAAUACUCGCUGUUUGCGAUAUACAGUAAGCGGCCAAGCGAAAGCAUUAAGUAUUCCACCUGGGGAGUACGCCGGCAACGGUGAAACUCAAAGGAAUUGACGGGGGCCCGCACAAGCGGAGGAACAUGUGGUUUAAUUCGAUGAUACGCGAGGAACCUUACCCGGGCUUAAAUUGCAGUGGAAUGAUGUGGAAACAUGUCAGUGAGCAAUCACCGCUGUGAAGGUGCUGCAUGGUUGUCGUCAGCUCGUGCCGUGAGGUGUCGGCUUAAGUGCCAUAACGAGCGCAACCCUUAUCUUUAGUUACUAACAGGUUAUGCUGAGGACUCUAGAGAGACUGCCGUCGUAAGAUGUGAGGAAGGUGGGGAUGACGUCAAAUCAGCACGGCCCUUACGUCCGGGGCUACACACGUGUUACAAUGGGGGGUACAGAAGGCAGCUAGCGGGUGACCGUAUGCUAAUCCCAAAAGCCUCUCUCAGUUCGGAUCGAAGUCUGCAACCCGACUUCGUGAAGCUGGAUUCGCUAGUAAUCGCGCAUCAGCCACGGCGCGGUGAAUACGUUCCCGGGCCUUGUACACACCGCCCGUCAAGCCAUGGGAGCCGGGGGUACCUGAAGUACGUAACCGCAAGGAUCGUCCUAGGGUAAAACU
rnacentral:rRNA from 1 species